AUCACUUUUCAUCUUCUAAGUCACGAGAGCUCUCUCUGCUCUCUUUUCCCUCACCGGCGGCAGCCUUCUCCAGCCGUCCAUGCCCAAGAAAAACCUCAAGCUUGCUUUCUCUUUCUCGUCCCUCUCCCAUAUUUAUCUCUCUCUCUCUCUCUCUCUCUCUCUCUCUCUCUCUCUCUCUCUCUCUCUCUCUCUCUCUCUCUCUCUCUCUCUCUCUCUCUCUCUCUCUCUCUCUCGCUCCGCUCGACUCCACCACAAUGAGACACUUUUGACGACUUGGCCAUCUCCACCCCCUGCGAUCCUCCUCCAUUUCUCCAGUUCUCUCUCGACAGUUCAAGGUGGUGCUGAAGUUAUUUAAUACGUAUAAAUAUAAGGUGGCAAUGAGACAGACAUGAAAAAGCUUGAAGAGGCAGUCAGAAGUGUCGAGAUGGAGGGUUUAUUUUGGGGAGCAUCCAAACUUGUAGCUGUUGGGUAGGUAUCAAGAAAUUGCAGAUAAUGCUCACCAUUGUGGACGAUCUGGACUCUGUUGACUCGCUCAUUGAGGAACGUCUUACUGCUGAACCAAUUAACGAGUAUGUCCAGAGUUGUGAUAUUGUGGCCUUCAACAAAAUAUGCUCUAAGCCUGUUGUGAUUUGAUUGCAGAGAGUUUGUCAUCGGGGUUGAAGAUCUUUAUUCCUAUUUUGGUUUUUUUUUUUGGAUAUGAUCGUAUGUUGUCAAAUUCUGGAUCUAUAGUCCUAGAAAUGAGGAUUUGCCUAUACCAUUGUUAUUUUGGUAUAGUUUAUUUAUAUGUAGUUUAUGAGACGCCUGUCACAA